CGCCCAACAGCUAGCCCACCCAAACAACUCCAACAACCCCUUGUUAAUACCCCCUAAGUACCCUAGUAUUUAAUUUAACCAAACCAUUUUUCCCCCUUAGUAUAGGCGA
rnacentral:rRNA from 1 species